UACGUAGGGUGCAAGCGUUAAUCGGAAUUACUGGGCGUAAAGCGUGCGCAGGCGGUUUCGUAAGUCUGUCGUGAAAUCCCCGGGCUCAACCUGGGAAUGGCGAUGGAGACUGCGAGGCUAGAGUUUGGCAGAGGGGGGUAGAAUUCCACGUGUAGCAGUGAAAUGCGUAGAUAUCUGGAGGAACACCGGUGGCGAAGGCGGCGUCCUGGACCAACACUGACACUGAGGAGCGAAAGCCAGGGGAGCAAACGGG
rnacentral:rRNA from 1 species